UUUUCUCUUCCUUGUAUUUUGUUUACUAUUGUAUUGGAUUUAAAAAAAAAGAGAGAAGAAAUUCAGAAAAAAAAUUCAAAAAAAAAAUAAAAAAAAGGAAAAAAAAGUGACAAAAAAAUCGAGUUAAAAAAAAAGAAGAAAAAACAAAAGUGAAAAGUCUUGUGAGUUUUAUUUUGUUUUUUUGUUGCUUCCGAGCAUCCAUUCAUUUUACCAUUCCCUCUACCCCCCCAAACGCCACACAUACUUUGAUUUUUAUUUUCUUUGUUUAGCCUACCCUACACCCGACGUUAUCCCUUGUAACCCAUUUGAAGCCGACCCUCUAAGCCGCAAUAAGUUUUCUUGAAACAAAAUCCAAAUUCACAAGAGUGAGACGAGCGAAAAAAGGCACGAGU
rnacentral:lncRNA from 1 species